rnacentral:rRNA from 1 species
CCUACGGGAGGCUGCAGUGAGGAAUAUUGGUCAAUGGACGAGAGUCUGAACCAGCCAAGUAGCGUGAAGGAUGACGGCCCUAUGGGUUGUAAACUUCUUUUAUAGGGGAAUAAAAUGUGCCACGUGUGGGAUUUUGUAUGUACCAUAUGAAUAAGGAUAGGCUAACUCCGUGCCAGCAGCCGCGGUAAGACGGAGGCUCCGAGCGUUAUGCGGAUUUAAUGGGUUUAAAGGGAGCGUAGGGGGAUUGUUAAGUCAGUUGUGAAAGUUUGCGGCUCCACCGUAAAAUUGCAGUUGAAACUGGCAGUCUUGCGUCCAGUAGAGGUGGGCGGCAUUCGUGGUGUAGCGG